rnacentral:rRNA from 1 species
ACUCCUACGGGAGGCAGCAGUGGGGAAUAUUGCACAAUGGGCGCAAGCCUGAUGCAGCCAUGCCGCGUGUAUGAAGAAGGCUUUCGGGUUGUAAAGUACUUUCAGCAGUGAGGAAGGUAGUGUAGUUAAUAGCACUAUCAUUUGACGUUAGCUGCAGAAGAAGCACCGGCUAACUCCGUGCCAGCAGCCGCGGUAAUACGGAGGGUGCGAGCGUUAAUCGGAAUUACUGGGCGUAAAGCGCAUGCAGGUGGUUUGUUAAGUCAGAUGUGAAAGCCCGGGGCUCAACCUCGGAAUUGCAUUUGAAACUGGCAGACUAGAGUACUGUAGAGGGGGGUAGAAUUUCAGGUGUAGCGGUGAAAUGCGUAGAGAUCUGAAGGAAUACCGGUGGCGAAGGCGGCCCCCUGGACAGAUACUGACACUCAGAUGCGAAAGCGUGGGGAGCAAACAGGAUUAGAUACCCUGGUAGCACAGAG